UACGGAGGGGGCUAGCGUUGUUCGGAAUUACUGGGCGUAAAGCGCACGUAGGCGGCUUUGCAAGUUAGAGGUGAAAGCCCGGGGCUCAACUCCGGAAUUGCCUUUAAGACUGCAUCGCUAGAAUCGUGGAGAGGUGAGUGGAAUUCCCAGUGUAGAGGUGAAAUUCGUAGAUAUUGGGAAGAACACCGGUGGCGAAGGCGGCUCACUGGCUCAUUACUGAGCUCAGGCGCGAUAGCGUGGGGAUCAAACAGG
rnacentral:rRNA from 1 species